GAUCUUGGCAAACUAACUUAUUAUCUUGGUAUUGAAGUACGACAAACCGACAAUGGCAUAGUGCUGACACAAGACAUAUAUGCACAAAAGAUUCUUGAAGAAGCUGGUAUGCAUAGAUGCAAUCUCGUUCACAUACCUAUGGACGUGAAUAUAAGACUCUCCAAGUCACCUCACGAGACUAACAUUGACGAGAGAGAGUACAGACAUAGCAUUGGCUGCCUUCGAUAUCUACUACACACACGGCCUGAUCUAUCAUUUAGUGUUGGCUUACUCAGUAGAUAUAUGUGUGAACCUAAGGAAACACACGAAGCGGCCCUAAAGCAAGUCUUUCGUUACUUGCGUGGUAAUACUUCAUACGGCUUACACUUCAAGAGAGCAUCAAAGCAAGAGCUGAUGGGAUUUCGUGAUAGCUCUCAUAAUGUUGAUGACGAUGACGGAAAGAGCAUGACCGGUCAUAUCACUACAAAAAAAGUCUCCAUUAAUAGCACAUUGUUAUAGCACGUUUUACUGAACUGCUAUUGUAGAUGAGCAAAAAAUUAUCGUACUAUAUAAUAGCAUUAGAUAAACGUUAUUAUAGAGUGAAAUGUAAAAUAGCGCUUAGUUAGUGCUAUUUUUAAAAUUAAGUGAGCGGGAAGUUAAAAUUACUGAUUCCGCCAAUAAUUAGCAGAAAAUUAUACUUAAGCGCCGAAACAUUAUUUAAGCAGUUUCAGUAAUACUAUCAGAAAAAUAUUAUAGCAUUUUUCUAACGCUAAGAAAAGCUAUUUGAUCCCCUAAACCCUAAACAUGGUUUUAAACCCUAAACUCUAAAAACAACCUUUAAAACUCUAAUAUUUUCAUAUUAUAACUUCAAAAUUUAAUCUUCUUAAUCUUAAACUAUAAUUUUCUAACACAAAUCUUUACUCUUUAAUCAAACUUUAUAUCCUAAAUCCUAACUUCAAACAUAAAUUAUACAUUCAAUACUCUAAAUAUAAACUUCAAACUUUAUAUCAUAGAAUACUAAACUUUGUUUUAAAACACUAAACUUUAUUUAUAUAACUUAUAUCAUAAAACACUAAGUUUAUUUUAUAUUUCAAACCUAAUAUCUAAGCUUCUAACCCAAAUUAUUUUCUAACUCUUACUUACAAAAGUAACAAAAUAUUAAAGCUUCAAACCUUUAUUAAAUUUAUAAUUUCAAACUUUUCAAAAAACCUUAACUUCAUACACUAUAUCCAAACUUUAACCUCAUAUCCUAAAUUUAAACUCAAAAUUUAAUCUUAUAUCCAAACUUUAACCUCAUAUCUUAAAUUUAACCCUAAUAUUUCAUACUUUAACCUCAUAUCUUAAAUUUAAACUCAAAAUUUUUCUUUUUAUUUUAAACUAUAAAUCCCAUCCUCCGAAUUUUAAACCCUCUAUCAUAAACAUAACUUUAAAGUUUUAAUUUUAAUAUUUUAAUUUUCAUAUUAGAAAAAUUCAAAAGCUUGAUAUAUAAAUUUUACAUUAUCUAACAUAUAAAUUAAAUAGAACUGUAAAUCAAAAUUUUAUAUAACUUUACCAAAGAUAAAAAAUCAAUUAACAAAGAAAAUUGUCAUGGACCAAUGAUAUCAAAGUACUCAGAUCACAACCUCCACCAUUGGAUUAGAUUAAUCCAACAGACCAAAUCUAAUCCCUCUUUAUCUUUCUCUUUCUCUUUCCUCUCUAUUUUCUUCGUCUACGACAUUCACUCUCUUCACUCACGAAUCUGCUCACUUCUUCUUCUUUCUUUUCUCUUUAUCUCUUUGGUUCACUCAUGUCUCUGCACAUCUCUCUCUAUCUCUAUCAAAAUUUUCUUUUAAUUUCAUCUCCUUUUCACCACCACCACCGCCGGCCUUCAUGUUCGUCACCACCAUGCUCUUUUGAUUUCGUCGCGUUCUUCACCACCGUCACGCUCAUCACCAACACCACAGAUCUGAGAAGGAACAGUGAUGAAACAGAAUGGAGAAGUAUUGGUGUGACAGAGCGGCAUCUCCGGUUAAGCGUGGUGCGGCAGCGGUGCAAAGCCGGUAGCUUGUUGCUGGUUCGUGGACGGUGGCUGAAGCUUUGUGAAGGUGGCGAUGAUGGCUGAAGCUUUGUGAAGAUGGCGAUGGUGGCUGAAGCGUCUAUUAGGUUUAGAUUUAGGUUUAGUUAAUCAAUUGGUUUAGUUAGGUUUACAUUAAUUAAUUGGUUUAAUUAGGAUUAGAGUAAUAUAUUUAUGUAUUAUUGGUUAAGUUUUGUAAACCGGGAUUAAUUUGUAAACCAAUUUUAAUAUAUAAAUAAAAUUUAUUUUAAUUUCAAUAUAAAACAAUUUUCUGUUUAAUAUUAAAUUAUUUUAUUUCGAAUUAUAAUUAAUUUUUGUUUAUUGUAGAAAGAUCUAUCAUAGCACGAAUAUAUAAAUCGUAAUCAAUUUGUAACAAAAAAAUAGUGUUAUAUUUAAGUUAAUAACAUCAUUCAAAUAUUGCUAUCGUAUCUGCAUAUUUCAUAGCAUUUAAAAAAAUGUUAUCGUAGAAGGGGUACCUAUAAUGGCUGCCGAUGACAUAGCAUUUCAACUUUCGCUAUGAAAGCUCUAUUAUAGCGUUUAUCGUGUGCUAAGAAUGUGCAUAUUUCUUGUAGUGUAUCUUUUACUUUGGUGAUAGUCCCAUAACAUGGUGUUCUCAGAAACAAGAAAUUGUGGCAUUGUCAUCGUGUGAAAGGGAAUUUAUGGCGGCCACGGAAGCAGCAAAACAUGCAAUAUGGCUCCAGGAGCUCUUGAGUGAAACCAUUGGUGAUGAAUGCAAGAAGGUAGUCGUUCAAGUUGACAACAAAUCCGCAAUUGCACUAACAAAGAAUCCAGUGUUUCAUGGUAGAAGCAAACACAUCCAUAGAAGGUUUCAUUUUAUACGAGAAUGUGUUGAGAAUGGACAAAUUGAAGUAGAGCAUGUAUCGCGGAAUGAACAUAGAGCUGAUAUACUUACGAAAGCUCUCAGUCGAAACCGUUUUAAAGAAAUGAGAGAACUCAUUGGAGUUCUAGACAUGUGUGAAGAUGAAGUCAAGCUUAAGCGGGAGAAUGUUGGAAUAAGCUUGAAGUAACUUGAGAUGGAAGCUACCUAAUCCUAGAUAAUAUGGAAGUUUGUAAGGAUUAGGAAAUAAUGAUUUACUAGUUUUUGACCCGCGCUUUAAAAGCGCGGGUUUAUUUUUCUCUUAAUAUUUAUUAUAAAAUUUGGAAAAUUUUGUGACAUGUAAUAUGUUCAUGUAUUUUUUUUAUGAUAUUAAUUUAUUUUUAUUUUAUUCCUCAGUAUUUAUAUAUAUAAAAUUGAACUUGAUUAAAAAAAAAACUUAAAGUGGUAUUUUUUCAAUCAAUCUUCAUUUAUAUGUACCGACUUUUUCAAAGAGUUUUUUUUAACAGAUGUAACUUGUGAAUAAACUAUUAUUAUAUUAUUUUAAAAAAGUUUUACUUAUAUUGAGAAAAAGAAAUAUUAAUAAAUAUGUGUGAAUGUUUAUUAAUAUAAAUAUUAGAACGUGGCCCAAAUGGUCCAAACGAAAAUAUUUGUACCGACAAAACUCGGCCCAAUAUAAAACUCGACCCAAAUGAAAUAUUUUUCCAACAAAACGAACUUCCGUGUGCUGAUCUUGGCCCAAAAUAAUUGGGAAGUAUUUUGGUCAUAACUUGCAAGAUAUUUUACCAUUAGUUUGGCCCAAUCAAUAUUUUAUGUAAAUAUCCAUUUUAAGUAUUUUAUGUAGAUAAAACCCAUGGUAAAAUAAAUAUUUUUGUUUUCUACCGACAAAACUAUCGGUCUUUGAUCAUCACGUUAAAAAAACAGUAAAGGAAAGAUAAUUGUUUUGUCCGAGACGUUUCUUUUUCGGUAAUAUUGUCUUGAGGUUCACCUCUGAAAUGACGAUUGAGAUGCGAUUCAAAGCUCCAAAACACAAAUCCAUGGUGGUAAUGACGGAAUCAAGGUUGCUUGAAGAGGUGAACAGGUUCUACCGCAAAUGAAAGAGCAACCGAUUAAUCUGAUUUGGAUCAAAGUCAAACCGACGGUUCAGCACACGGAAGAUCCACCAAGUGCUUCAACAUUUUCCGAUCUAUUUAGGUGAUAUGCCUCUAACUUUUUCUUUAUGUUAAAACUAAAGUGUUUAGAAAAUAUUGAAAGUGUGAUGUCUAUAUAGUGAGACAUAUGAUGAAUGAAUCAACUCACGGAUUGUAUGUGUGAUUAAGCUUUAGGUUUGAGUUGUAUUGCUAAAGCUUUGAUUGAUUAAUAAGAGAAUGACUUAUUGUUAAA